GUACUCGCUUCGGCAGCACAUAUACUAAAAUUGAAACAAUACAGAGAAGAUUAGCAUGGCUCCUGAGCAAGGGUAACACGCAAAUUUGUGAAGUGGUCCAUGUUUUU
ensembl:snRNA U6 U6 spliceosomal RNA